rnacentral:lncRNA from 1 species
GCAGGCUUCUGACUUGCGUGCUUCUCGACCACAAUCGAGGAGCGGUAUGCAUCUCUAUGCGAUUCUCCAAAUACAUGCUUCUCGACCAUGAUCUAGGAUUGAAACUUAUUCUCCAUACGAUUCUUUAUGUAAUUCUCCAAACAUGCACAUUUUAGCCAUGACUGAGGAUCAAAAUGUAUUCUCCAUGCGGUUCUCCAAACACACACUCCUCGACCAGAAGAUUAGAACGUAUUCUCCAUGUGGUUCUUCAAACACACACUCUUUGACCACGAUCGAGGAUCGAAAUGUA